AAGGAGUUAAAACUCCUUCUGUCACUUACCUGAAUCGAGUGCCGAUGUCCCUCGGCACUAGGUCAGGCUCCACCCAUGCUCCUCCCCCACUGACAUCAGCCAGCAAGGGGAGACCUAAUGCGCAUGCGUGGCAAUGGCCGCACUCACAUCAGGAUUUCCCCAUAGAAAAUAAUUAUUCAGUGCUUUCAUAUGGGGAAAAAUCUGACGCUGGAGGUCC